rnacentral:rRNA from 1 species
GAUGAACGCUAGCUACAGGCUUAACACAUGCAAGUCGAGGGGAAACGACAUCGAAAGCUUGCUUUUGAUGGGCGUCGACCGGCGCACGGGUGAGUAACGCGUAUCCAACCUGCCCAUCACUUGGGAAUAACCUUGCGAAAGUAAGACUAAUACCCAAUGAUAUCCCACGAAGGCAUCGGAAUGGGAUUAAAGAUUUAUCGGUGAUGGAUGGGGAUGCGUCUGAUUAGCUUGUUGGCGGGGUAACGGCCCACCAAGGCAACGAUCAGUAGGGGUUCUGAGAGGAAGGUCCCCCACAUUGGAACUGAGACACGGUCCAAACUCCUACGGGAGGCAGCAGUGAGGAAUAUUGGUCAAUGGGCGAGAGCCUGAACCAGCCAAGUAGCGUGCAGGAAGACGGCCCUAUGGGUUGUAAACUGCUUUUAUAAGGGAAUAAAGUGGGUCACGUGUGACUUUUUGCAUGUACCAUAUGAAUAAGGACCGGCUAAUUCCGUG